rnacentral:rRNA from 1 species
AACACAUGCAGUCGAACGAUGAAGCCCAGCUUGCUGGGUGGAUUAGUGGCGAACGGGUGAGUAACACGUGGGUGAUCUGCCCUGCACUCUGGGAUAAGCCUGGGAAACUGGGUCUAAUACCGGAUAUGACCUCGGGAUGCAUGUUCUGGGGUGGAAAGUUUUUCGGUGCAGGAUGAGCCCGCGGCCUAUCAGCUUGUUGGUGGGGUAAUGGCCUACCAAGGCGACGACGGGUAGCCGGCCUGAGAGGGCGACCGGCCACACUGGGACUGAGACACGGCCCAGACUCCUACGGGAGGCAGCAGUGGGGAAUAUUGCACAAUGGGCGCAAGCCUGAUGCAGCGACGCCGCGUGAGGGAUGACGGCCUUCGGGUUGUAAACCUCUUUCACCCAUGACGAAGCGCAAGUGACGGUAGUGGGAGAAGAAGCACCGGCCAACUACGUGCCAGCAGCCGCGGUAAUACGUAGGGUGCGAGCGUUGUCCGGAAUUACUGGGCGUAAAGAGCUCGUAGGCGGUUUGUCGCGUCGUCUGUGAAAUCCCGCAGCUCAACUGCGGGCUUGCAGGCGAUACGGGCAGACUCGAGUACUGCAGGGGAGACUGGAAUUCCUGGUGUAGCGGUGAAAUGCGCAGAUAUCAGGAGGAACACCGGUGGCGAAGGCGGGUCUCUGGGCAGUAACUGACGCUGAGGAGCGAAAGCGUGGGUAGCGAACAGGAUUAGAUACCCUGGUAGUCCACGCCGUAAACGGUGGGCGCUAGGUGUGGGUUUCCUUCCACGGGAUCCGUGCCGUAGCCAACGCAUUAAGCGCCCCGCCUGGGGAGUACGGCCGCAAGGCUAAAACUCAAAGGAAUUGACGGGGGCCCGCACAAGCGGCGGAGCAUGUGGAUUAAUUCGAUGCAACGCGAGAACCUUACCUGGGUUUGACAUGUACCGGACGACUGCAGAGAUGUGGUUUCCUUGUGGCCGUAGACAGGUGUGCAUGGCUGUCGUCAGCUCGUGUCGUGAGAAUGUUGGGUUAAGUCCCGCAACGAGCGCAACCCUGG